rnacentral:ncRNA from 2 species
AUAUGCCCUCAAGCUCAAGGUGCCGCUCUUGCUAGGGAAGAGCGGAAAAUUGGGAAGCCGGCGAGGGUUUUACCACCCUGAUCCGGCGCUGCCCCCGCAACGGUGGUGGAGUGUCGAGGCAUGGCAAAUGCCACUGGGAAAGAAGCCGCAAAGGCCGCCUGGGAAGGUGUCAUGCCGGUCCUUCGGGACAGCUCCUGAGCCCGGAAACCAGCCUUGAACGAUAAGUCAUG